UGUGGACUAUUUAGUUCUUAACAUCCCAGCUGGAGUUGUUCACCCGGGUUGGCCUGGCCCUGUCCUUACUCUGCCUACAGUCUCUUCAUGUCUGACCUGCCUUUUAACUCAGGAGACAUACACUGAGCACAGAGAGGGCCUGCUGCACCACCACCACCCCAGCACCUCCGUGACCUGUCACUCUGAACCUGGGUUCAGCCAUUGGCAACGUUCGCAGGUCAGAAGGAGGUUAACAAUUCAGCCAUUGGCAACACUCGCAGGUCAGAAGGAGGUUAACAUCUGGCAAGCAAUAAGCUCUGCCCAUUCCCCCGUCUGCUUUCUGGGCUGGGGUGACUAUAUAUGCUUGUGGUUCUCAACCCCUGUCCUGUCCCUUGAGGUGUCCUCAUGCUCCGCAAGCCCUGCUGGAAAUAGUCCCUUUAUUAAAGUCUGCAACUAUUUCCCGAGUAUGCUCCAACUUCCCACUGAGACCCGAACCCACCCAGUGCACCUCUAUUCCAUUUCAUUUUAUUCUAUGUGUAUGGGUGUUUUGUCUUUACGUUUAUACGUGCACCGUGUGCUUGUAGUGUCUGUGAAUGCCAGAAAAGGGUAUCAGAUCCCCUGAAACUGGAGUUACAGACAGUUGUAAGCCAUCGUGUGGUUGCUGGAAAUCAAAUCCAGGUUCUCUGCAAAAGCAGCCAGUGCUCUUAAGCACGGAGCCAUCUCUCUGACCCAGAGCACCCAUAUUCUACUCAGUCUACAGGGACAAGAGGGUGAAGUCACUCAUCUGUGACCUUAAACUCCUGUGGGGGGAGUAUAGAUCCUCAAGAGGCUACAGAGGGUCUCAUGAAGUGUGGGGUGUCUGCCUAAGCAGGGAAGGCUAGACUGAUUGGACAUGGGAACUGCCGUUCUGUUUGCUCUGAGCCCUGUUUUCUGGCUCUGACUUGAGGGGGCGGAGGAAAGGGGGAGGGGCUAUUAUAAAGAGCCGCAGUGGGAAAGGAGCUGUUAAAAAGAACGGCAGUGUCCCGUGAUCAUGACCUCCUGCUCAGGACCAGAGACAAAAGCCGCCGCAGGUUCUUGGGCAGCCCCUGUCUCUGCCACAAUUCAAGGUCAGGAUCAAAGGGCCUACAUUCCUCCUCCGCAGGGCUGAGACUGAGCGGAGCAGAGUCCACUUCCUUAUUGGUUUUCUUAUAUUUAACAGUGUAGGUAAGUCAGAAGCAUACUUAUUUUCUUCCAGAGGACCCGGCAGAGCCGCUGACUUUUGGAGUGCCAGGAAAAAAAGAAAAAAAAAAAAUGACAAGGAAAAGCAACGUUUUCCAGAAGUGGCCCCUCGAGGGUACAAUGGCUGCUCUCCACCACUCAGUUCUCAGACCUUUGCACUUCACAGGGACGUUUAAGGAUGCCAUUCUCCUCACCCCACCCUGGCAGACAGACCCAAGGUGGUCCUUCAUCAGCUAUGAGCCUGGGAGGUGCUCAGCAGUGGCCCGCACCUGUGCUGUGCACAGCCUGGAAACCUUUCCUCUGCACCGAGGUGUCUGAGUAAAACCUGAGAAACAGGCUGCUGCCCGUAGCCACCACAGGAUCUGGCUUCUUGCUGCCACAAAAGCGGCCGAGGAUGGGGGCCAGGCUGUCCGUCCCAUCGUACAGUUCCAGGUGGUCAUAGGCACAUUCCUGGUGCUGCUCAAUCUCAAACUCAUUGAAUGUCUGGAGAUGGGAGAGCAGAAAGUGAGACUGUCCCCAGUUGUUGGCCUGGGAGCUGAACAGUUUCAAGCCAUACAGAUGACUGAUUGAUAGUCUGCCUGUGGUGUCAAGAGUGAAAUGUCCUGUGAGAGAUCUGCUCCGGAAACAAGUGAGUCCCACACAGCACUGCAGACCUGUGUGGUGGCGGCCACCUCACACAGUGCCGCCAGAAGAAGUGCUGUUACAGAGCACACUCCCUUCAUCUGCCCAGCAGCCCCCACUUCGAGAUUCACAGCAUCUUCCCAUUCCUCAGUAGCACAACAGACCUGGGCAUGCUCCAUGAUGGACACGGAGCAGGGACUUGAACCCGUGUCUGCCCAACACCAAAGUUUAUGCCCUUAGCAA